rnacentral:rRNA from 1 species
UACGGGGGGGGCAAGCGUUGUUCGGAAUUACUGGGCGUAAAGGGCUCGUAGGCGGCCAACUAAGUCAGACGUGAAAUCCCUCGGCUUAACCGGGGAACUGCGUCUGAUACUGGAUGGCUUGAGUUUGGGAGAGGGAUGCGGAAUUCCAGGUGUAGCGGUGAAAUGCGUAGAUAUCGGAAGGAACAUCAGUGGCGAAAGCGGCUUCCUGGACCAGCACCGACGUUCAGGCACGAAAGCGUGGGGAGCAAACAGG